rnacentral:rRNA from 1 species
UGUGAACUCGAAGAGUAGGGCGGGACACGUGGUAUCCUGUCUGAAUAUGGGGGGACCAUCCUCCAAGGCUAAAUACUCCUGACUGACCGAUAGUGAACCAGUACCGUGAGGGAAAGGCGAAAAGAACCCCGGCGAGGGGAGUGAAAAAGAACCUGAAACCGUGUACGUACAAGCAGUGGGAGCACCUUCGGGUGUGACUGCGUACCUUUUGUAUAAUGGGUCAGCGACUUAUAUUCUGUAGCAAGGUUAACCGUAUAGGGGAGCCGCAGGGAAACCGAGUCUUAACUGGGCGUUAAGUUGCAGGGUAUAGACCCGAAACCCGGUGAUCUAGCCAUGGGCAGGUUGAAGGUUGGGUAACACUAACUGGAGGACCGAACCGACUAAUGUUGAAAAAUUAGCGGAUGACUUGUGGCUGGGGGUGAAAGGCCAAUCAAACCGGGAGAUAGCUGGUUCUCCCCGAAAGCUAUUUAGGUAGCGCCUCGUGAACUCAUCUUCGGGGGUAGAGCACUGUUUCGGCUAGGGGGUCAUCCCGACUUACCAACCCGAUGCAAACUACGAAUACCGAAGAAUGUUAUCACGGGAGACACACGGCGGGUGCUAACGUCCGUCGUGAAGAGGGAAACAACCCAGACCGCCAGCUAAGGUCCCAAAGUCAUGGUUAAGUGGGAAACGAUGUGGGAAGGCACAGACAGCCAGGAUGUUGGCUUAGAAGCAGCCAUCAUUUAAAGAAAGCGUAAUAGCUCACUGGUCGAGUCGGCCUGCGCGGAAGAUGUAACGGGGCUAAACCAUGCACCGAAGCUGCGGCAGCGACACUAUGUGUUGUUGGGUAGGGGAGCGUUCUGUAAGCCUGCGAAGGUGUGCUGUGAGGCAUGCUGGAGGUAUCAGAAGUGCGAAUGCUGACAUAAGUAACGAUAAAGCGGGUGAAAAGCCCGCUCGCCGGAAGACCAAGGGUUCCUGUCCAACGUUAAUCGGGGCAGGGUGAGUCGACCCCUAAGGCGAGGCCGAAAGGCGUAGUCGAUGGGAAACAGGUUAAUAUUCCUGUACUUGGUGUUACUGCGAAGGGGGGACGGAGAAGGCUAUGUUAGCCGGGCGACGGUUGUCCCGGUUUAAGCAUGUAGGCUGNUUNUCCAGGCAAAUCCGGAUAANCAAGGCUGAGGUGUGAUGACGAGGCACUACGGUGCUGAAGUAACAAAUGCCCUGCUUCCAGGAAAAGCCUCUAAGCAUCAGGUAACAUCAAAUCGUACCCCAAACCGACACAGGUGGUCAGGUAGAGAAUACCAAGGCGCUUGAGAGAACUCGGGUGAAGGAACUAGGCAAAAUGGUGCCGUAACUUCGGGAGAAGGCACGCUGGUGUGUAGGUGAAGNCCCUGCGGNUGGAGCUGAGACCAGUCGAAGAUACCAGCUGGCUGCAACUGUUUAUUAAAAACACAGCACUGUGCAAACACGAAAGUGGACGUAUACGGUGUGACGCCUGCCCGGUGCCGGAAGGUUAAUUGAUGGGGUUAUCCGUAAGGAGAAGCUCUUGAUCGAAGCCCCGGUAAACGGCGGCCGUAACUAUAACGGUCCUAAGGUAGCGAAAUUCCUUGUCGGGUAAGUUCCGACCUGCACGAAUGGCGUAAUGAUGGCCAGGCUGUCUCCACCCGAGACUCAGUGAAAUUGAACUCGCUGUGAAGAUGCAGUGUACCCGCGGCAAGACGGAAAGACCCCGUGAACCUUUACUAUAGCUUGACACUGAACAUUGAGCCUUGAUGUGUAGGAUAGGUGGGAGGCUUUGAAGCGUGGACGCCAGUCUGCGUGGAGCCAACCUUGAAAUACCACCCUUUAAUGUUUGAUGUUCUAACGUUGGCCCCUUACCGGGGUUGCGGACAGUGUCUGGUGGGUAGUUUGACUGGGGCGGUCUCCUCCCAAAGCGUAACGGAGGAGCACGAAGGUUAGCUAAUCCUGGUCGGACAUCAGGAGGUUAGUGCAAUGGCAUAAGCUAGCUUGACUGCGAGCGUGACGGCGCGAGCAGGUGCGAAAGCAGGUCAUAGUGAUCCGGUGGUUCUGAAUGGAAGGGCCAUCGCUCAACGGAUAAAAGGUACUCCGGGGAUAACAGGCUGAUACCGCCCAAGAGUUCAUAUCGACGGCGGUGUUUGGCACCUCGAUGUCGGCUCAUCACAUCCUGGGGCUGAAGUAGGUCCCAAGGGUAUGGCUGUUCGCCAUUUAAAGUGGUACGCGAGCUGGGUUUAGAACGUCGUGAGACAGUUCGGUCCCUAUCUGCCGUGGGCGCUGGAGAAUUGAGGGGGGCUGCUCCUAGUACGAGAGGACCGGAGUGGACGCAUCACUGGUGUUCGGGUUGUCAUGCCAAUGGCACUGCCCGGUAGCUAAAUGCGGAAGAGAUAAGUGCUGAAAGCAUCUAAGCACGAAACUUGCCCCGAGAUGAGUUCUCCCUGAGACUUUAAGUCUCCUGAAGGAACGUU